CGCGAAUAUAGCCCGCAUCGGCCCUAUUUAAGGUUAAGCGGCGUUAAAGGACCGCGCCCGAGGCGGCCCCCGAGACCUAUCGGCGGCAAGGUACCUUAGCCCUCCCUACGCAGUAGUAAUAGGCCUUAUAGGGAGACUUAGUACCUAUGCUUACCUGCCCGCGCUCGGCGCGUAGCGAUUAUUACCUGAUAUA
rnacentral:misc_RNA from 1 species